ensembl:lincRNA Gm11959 predicted gene 11959
GUGCUGGGAAAGGUUGGCUGGGGUCCUUGCCUCUCUCCAUCACCGUUUAUCUCUCAAUCUAUGAACCUGUGAGAGCAAUCAGAGAGGAGAGCGGCCCUCUUUACUUAAAGUGGUGCCCGAGGGAGCUAAGGGACAGAAAGACAGAGAUGUCAUGUGAAUUGCAUGUCUCGCCUGGCCUAGCUUGUUUAGCCAAGGAUGGCAGGGACAGGAAGCAGGGUGAAUGUCACAGCCCAGCUGCCUGCUUUGCUGUGAGAGUCUCAUGGCUCCCUGAUGGUUGUGGAAGGGAAGGUUCUGCUAACUCUGAGUCCAAAGGAUGCCAGGGACAAUCUGGAGAAGGUCAACCAAUAUCCCAACAAUUGCUUCCCUGAUGGUAACUGAGACCCAGGUCCUCAGGACCGGAUCACAAAGGCCUCAUGCUCUUAGUGAGCAGCAAUUCACAAUGGAAAGCACAUAAGACAUACUGAUGAUAACACUGAGAGCCAACAACAGAGAAGAUACAAACUGAGUUUCCAAGCCAGCUCAGUCUACACGAAUGCUGUCAGCUCUAGAUGCCCCACCGGUCUAGGGUUGCAUACAAAGUACAUUUCGAUGUAGCUGAACAUCCUGAAUUUUGACAUGUUAAAUUCAGCUGCCUGCCUGGUUUUGUUGUUGUUGUUCUUGGUUUGGUUUUGUUUUUUUUUGUUUGUUUGUUUUUUUUUUUUGUAAAUAAAGCUUUAUUGGAAC